rnacentral:rRNA from 1 species
CGCGGCGACCGGCGCACGGGUGAGUAACACGUAUGGAACCGUGCCCGCCAGCAGGGGGAGUAAGCGGAAGAAAUUCCGUCUAAUACCGCGUAACAACGUUGGGAGGCAUCUCCCGAUGUUUAAAGAUUUAUCGGCUGCGGAUGGCCAUGCGGCGCAUUAGCUAGUCGGCGGGGUAACGGCCCACCGAGGCGACGAUGCGUAGGGGUUCUGAGAGGAAGGUCCCCCACACUGGUACUGAGACACGGACCAGACUCCUACGGGAGGCAGCAG